rnacentral:rRNA from 1 species
GACGAACGCUGGCGGCGUGCUUAACACAUGCAAGUCGAACGGAAAGGCCCUGCUUUUGUGGGGUGCUCGAGUGGCGAACGGGUGAGUAACACGUGAGUAACCUGCCCUUGACUUUGGGAUAACUUCAGGAAACUGGGGCUAAUACCGGAUAGGAGCUCCUGCUGCAUGGUGGGGGUUGGAAAGUUUCGGCGGUUGGGGAUGGACUCGCGGCUUAUCAGCUUGUUGGUGGGGUAGUGGCUUACCAAGGCUUUGACGGGUAGCCGGCCUGAGAGGGUGACCGGCCACAUUGGGACUGAGAUACGGCCCAGACUCCUACGGGAGGCAGCAGUGGGGAAUAUUGCACAAUGGGCGGAAGCCUGAUGCAGCAACGCCGCGUGCGGGAUGACGGCCUUCGGGUUGUAAACCGCUUUCGCCUGUGACGAAGCGUGAGUGACGGUAAUGGGUAAAGAAGCACCGGCUAACUACGUGCCAGCAGCCGCGGUGAUACGUAGGGUGCGAGCGUUGUCCGGAUUUAUUGGGCGUAAAGGGCUCGUAGGUGGUUGAUCGCGUCGGAAGUGUAAUCUUGGGGCUUAACCCUGAGCGUGCUUUCGAUACGGGUUGACUUGAGGAAGGUAGGGGAGAAUGGAAUUCCUGGUGGAGCGGUGGAAUGCGCAGAUAUCAGGAGGAACACCAGUGGCGAAGGCGGUUCUCUGGGCCUUUCCUGACGCUGAGGAGCGAAAGCGUGGGGAGCGAACAGGCUUAGAUACCCUGGUAGUCCACGCUGUAAACGGUGGGUACUAGGUGUGGGGUCCAUUCCACGGGUUCCGUGCCGUAGCUAACGCUUUAAGUACCCCGCCUGGGGAGUACGGCCGCAAGGCUAAAACUCAAAGGAAUUGACGGGGCCCCGCACAAGCGGCGGAGCAUGCGGAUUAAUUCGAUGCAACGCGUAGAACCUUACCUGGGUUUGACGUGGAUCGGGAGCGCUCAGAGAUGGGUGUGCCUCUUUUGGGGUCGGUUCACAGGUGGUGCAUGGCUGUCGUCAGCUCGUGUCGUGAGAUGUUGGGUUAAGUCCCGCAACGAGCGCAACCCUUGUUCACUGUUGCCAGCACGUUAUGGUGGGGACUCAGUGGAGACCGCCGGGGUCAACUCGGAGGAAGGUGGGGAUGACGUCAAGUCAUCAUGCCCCUUAUGUCCAGGGCUUCACGCAUGCUACAAUGGCUGGUACAGAGAGUGGCGAGCCUGUGAGGGUGAGCGAAUCUCGGAAAGCCGGUCUCAGUUCGGAUUGGGGUCUGCAACUCGACCUCAUGAAGUCGGAGUCGCUAGUAAUCGCAGAUCAGCAACGCUGCGGUGAAUACGUUCCCGGG